CUGAGCAAACUGUGCAACCUGUUGCAGCAAAAAACCAACUCUCGAAAGUUUCGUUUAGUUUCGCUACGGUUUCGGCUCAGUUCGAUUCGAUUCGAUUCCGACUCGAAUUAAAUGCAUUUAUCAGUUUAUUUAUAUAUGUGUGUACGAAAUGCAUUUGCCAAAUGUCGAUGUGACUGACGACGGAGCUGACAAUGCCUUCGUGUGGUUUCUGCUGCCUUUCGCCUCUUGAGCACCUGAGCUGAGCUCUGCACAGGUAAAUCGAGGCUGGAUGUGGAUGUCUUGAACCUGUCGGCGCAUUUUCUACGCCUGUAUGACAUAUCGCGAUAGAUUUACAUUGAAUUUCAAUAACCGCUGCUUGUCGCUUGCAUUUGCAAACACACAGCCAGAUGAAGAUGAAAAGCAGGCAUUACAUUCGAUUCGCAAUGAGCUUUCACUUUUGCAGUUUUCCCACUGAAUGUCUGUUGCAGUGCCUCGUUGAAAUGAUUGCACACCCAAGAACCGAAACCAUCCUCAACAUUUUUUAGUAUGCAGUCUGCACCUUUGACAGCACCCACCCAGCAUUAUUGGUAUAACUGCAAAAGACCCCACCCGCCGAUAAAUGCAUCUCUAAUUGCUGGUUCUUUGGCACAAGAUGAAUAACUUUCGGUUUCGCCACAAAUCCAUUAGCUGAUGACAAAGCGACGACAUCGACAAAGUGAUCGGCAGGCCGAGACCGAAAUCAGCAAAGCGGCAACCUACAAACUUUCACCUUUGAGCAAAUAGUUUCCACCAUUUCGCAAUGUAUUUCGAGUGUACGUCAAACAAAACGGCAACAAAUGUCAUAUUUAAGCACAAGCCCAGGCCGAAAAAAAAAACCCAGAGCCCUACAACCCGAGACCAUCAACCUGUUGCCGCGCUGCCUCGGGGGUACUAAUUACCCCAGAGGCCCGAAACAAAUUUUAAGCCACAUAUUUACAUGGUGCUCCAAAAGGGGGGUUGGGCCGAGAGUAGACGACCAUCCUAGCAACCUCUAAAAGCUGGCAUGCCCCCAUCGCAUUGUUGCAGAUAAUUUGUACCUGGAAACACGAUGGCAAAAUUAGGCAUCCAUUUGCAAGAGCAACGAACAGGGAAAUGCACUAUGGUUAAGAUAUAACAAACUGGAUCUGUAAAGUCAGAGACUCCUCGACGGAUCUUUCAGCCGAAAAAUACUAAACACUUUAUGCACGAUAAACAAAGACCUGGCCCUCUGAUGUUUGUCGUCAGGCCUUCAGUUCGGGCUAUCAACUCGGCUCAUCAACAAUAACAAUAUCGACGUUGCAGCUCGACUAGAUUAGGCGGGGAGGCCAGGAGGAGGAUGUUGGAGCCCAAAGACGAAGUUGGAGCUGGAGCUGGGGGGCUUCAUUAGCAAGCCAAGACGGCCGGGCCAGAAGUAACAACGUUGCCAGCGAGCAGUGAAACCUUUUUAAAGAGUGAAACUGAGACGGGGAAUGCGGCUGGUGACCUCCUCAGCUUUUGUGGAAUGACCCCAGAUUGUAACGCCCGCCCAGGCAAAUUUCCGCCGUCUAGUUGGCCAAACUGCGACUAAGUGUGUAUGGCAAAUCAAGCCAACAUACAAACAUCCAGAUCCAGAUACGGUGCACUUGCCAAAGUUGUGAAGGAGGAGCUGGAUACAACUGGCCCAACCUCCAAAUGCAAUCUGCGGCUCAUCUCUGGUUAGUUAAAUUAGCCUAGCGGAGUGGGUAACUAUCUUGCCAGCGACUAUCUGUGGUAGUCAUCUUUUAGUUACACAUUUUGUUGAUUUAAUUUUCAUGUUCCGCGCGGCCCAACACUUCCAUCAACUGACCACGAAAGUUCCGAGGGCACAAAAAGCCAGCCAAGUCCAAGUCCUCGACUUUUUCCAUUCAAUGCUGCGGCAAAGUGCAUAAUUGGUUUAUUAUUUUUAUUUUAUUUGCUCGACACGAUGACUGCAGCCAGCAGCUUCCUGCCAUAUUGUUCGCAUCGCUGAGCAGCGAUUUUCCUUUUUCUCGGGGGGCUUUUCUUUCGGCCCUACCCUACUUGGCCCCAUCCGCCUCGUGGCACUUGAUUUUCAUUGAGGCCUCGCCAUCCUCGUGGCUGGUUUUUGUCAUCUUUUCUAAAGUGUGUCUCGACUUGAGCUCCGAAUCUCAGAGUUUCCGAGGCGUGAUUUAAAUUUGCUGCAGCUUGCUUUUCUCUGUGGCUUGAUAAAAUAAAUACAUUUUCUGCUGCUCUGCA